AUCAUGUUCUCCUGAAUCUUCCGACAAAAGAUCUGGUGAUGAAGUUGAUUGGUUAAGUGAUUUACCAGAAGCUUUGCUCGUUCAUGUUCUCCUGAAUCUUCCGACAAAAAAUGUGGUUAAGACUAGUGUCUUAUCCAACAAAUGGAGAAAUAUCUGGAGGUAUGAUCCUGGAUUGGAUUUGGAUAAUCGUCAUUUCACGGAUUUGGUUAAGAAGAUCAUAUGUUUGUCUUAAAUGUUUCAAUUGAACCAAAAAUGUAAUAAGGUUCGUGUAAGAACCAAGGAUUAAAAUUUCCAGAAACUCUUUAUUUAUGUGAACUAUGUGCUUUCUUUUCAUUGUGGUGAC